rnacentral:lncRNA from 1 species
CUUAGCAUUUUUACUGUUGUAACAGUUCCCCGCGCUAUUACGACAUGUGAUUAAGGCUAUAAACCACGCUUGAAAAGCUAUUCAAUUAAUAAGCAUGCCUUAUAGCGUUUGUCUUUGAAACUCUGCACUAUCCUUGGAUCCCUAGUUGUUUGUUCAGAUGGAAUUCUGAACUAAAUAACUUUAUGCUGGGCAGUUUUAUCAAUUGUAAACUGUUGUCCCUAUACUAUUGUAAACUGCGGUCAAUUCAAUAAGAGCCACUUCUUAUAUUUUCUCUUUUUUCCUCUAAGAUCAAAGAAUAUGUUGCAAGACACGAAAAGAAAUUUGAUGGUUAUAUCUAUUUCUACAUGCACAAGAAAGAAUGAGAAGCCUUAGUUAACUUUCUUUAUACAUUCCAUGCAUAUUUUUGCAAUUUUUGGUUCCCAUUUUGUGGUCCAUAAUCCAAUUGUGAUCUACCACAGCAUCUCAAGUCAUGUCCGUGACGUUCUAAUGUAGGAUUAUAGGAUCACGUUUAACGA